ensembl:lncRNA
AAAAAAAAAAGCUUAUAUAGCCUUAUAAAUGUUAGCAUAUGUUUUAAAGCUUUCUGUUCAUGUUCAGGAUUAUAUUAUUUACAUUUUUCCAUCUGUUGUUCUCCAAUGUGGUCAGUUGGCAGUUCCCUCAUACAAGCCAGCUCUUCCCUAUCAUACAACUGCUAACAACUGUAGAGGAUGAAAGCUAACACGUGCUUCCUCCGAGACACGUGAACCAGCCAAUAGCAUCUUUUUGACCUGAUAAUCGUGCUGCGUCUCAGGGUGGCUCAACACACUCAGAGAAAAGUGCUAUCCGCCCACUUCCACAUACAUGAACUCACAGACACCUGGGAUUGGCUAGUGUCUCUGUGAUUGGCAUGAAGACAGAGAUUGUAUCUGUGUGUCUAGCUGGAAUCGAGGACUCAGGAUGUAUGCCAGUGUCGUACGUCUGCACAUUGUGACCUUCAUGCUAAGCGAGAAGAGCAGACGGGUGCAGUUUACCGCCCAGUCUCUCGGGAUAACUUUUAUGAGCUUCUGCACAGAAAGGGUGCACACAGCUUCUGCCCAAGGUCCUUUUUAUCUACGAUUAUACACUUAAUCCUCCUUCCUCAUGCUUGAGUUUAUUAACUACUAAAAAUUUAACGGUUGCACCAAGUAAUAUAAUUCCAACAUAGCCUUACACUAUUAUAAUGUAACAUUUAUGUCUACCUCCUAGCAUCUGGUGUAAAUAACACCAGAGUAAAAGAUGUUUACGGACUAUGAAUUAAUUUUGCUGUUAUUUUGUUUUUCACAUGGGAAGCUUUCGUGCUGUGAUCAUCGGACGACCACCGCACUGAAAUACAUUAAGUAUAAUGGCACAAAUAAACAGGAGGGAACAUAAUAUGAUGUAGAAAUCGUCCAUUUUUACAUCAGACAGCCUAAAGAGGUCUUUCCUAGGCUAGGGAAUAUUAUUAGCAAGGUCACGAGUAAUUUGAAAUUCUUUACUAUUAAUAUUAAUAUAAUGUCAUAUUUGGUAUAUCAAUCAGAGUAUUCAAAUAAAAAGUUUGCAGCCGCCUUGUUAGUUUUCUGCGUUAUGGUUUGUUAUUUUUGUUCAG